UGACCCGUCUUGAAACACGGACCAAGGAGUCUAGCGUGUGCGCGAGUCAUUGGGUGUAAAACCUAAAGGCGCAAUGAAAGUGUCAGGGGUGCCUCCUUUAGGAGCGCAUCCCGUUGGGAGGAUGGGCCRCCGUACGAUCACUCGUCGGAGCCCCGCACUCCCGGGGCGUCUCGUUCUCAUCACGAGUGGAGACGCACCAGGAGCGCACACGCUGGUACCCGAAAGAUGGUGAACUAUGCCUGGCCAGGACGAAGCCAGGGGAAACCCUGGUGGAGGUCCGAAGCGAUUCUGACGUGCAAAUCGAUCGUCUGAGCUGGGUAUAGGGGCGAAAGACCAAUCGAACCAUCUAGUAGCUGGUUCCCUCUGAAGUUUCCCUCAGGAUAGCUA
rnacentral:rRNA from 1 species